rnacentral:rRNA from 1 species
CGGAACUUCGGGUUUAGUGCCGGGCGGUUGAGUAACGCGUGAGAAUCUGCCUCUAGGUCGGGGACAACAAUUGGAAACGAUUGCUAAUACCCGAUGUGCAGCAAUGUGAAAGAUUAAUUGCCUAGAGAUGAGCUCGCGUCUGAU